rnacentral:rRNA from 1 species
UACGGAGGGUGCAAGCGUUGUCCGGAUUUAUUGGGUUUAAAGGGUGCGUAGGCGGUUAAUUAAGUCAGUGGUGAAAUCCUGGAGCUCAACUUCAGAACUGCCAUUGAUACUGGUUGACUUGAGUACAGACGAGGUUGGCGGAAUUGAUGGUGUAGCGGUGAAAUGCAUAGAUAUUCGGAAGAACACCAGUGGCGAAGGCAGCGAACUGGCCCUUAAUUGACGCUCAGGCACGAAAGCAUGGGGAUCAAACAGG